CUUGGCUACGAGGCACAUGACCUUUCCCUAGCUCAGAGUCUUAAGAUGACUCAUUUCCUUCUUUCACUGUUUUUCAGGGUCAGCACCAUCCUCUGAGGUUGGAAUCUCACCAGCCAGCCAUCUUCUUGCCUCCGAGCCAGCACCCCUGCAGCUGAGCAGCCUGGAGGGCAUCAGUGCAUCCAACAGCAAGGAAACUGUGAAGAUAGUCUGCAGGAAACCAGCACUUGCCUUUCUGAGGGAUGAAACGGGAGAGUGAAAGCACCAAGUGAAGGGAGCUUGCCUCAGACUGGACGGGUUGGAGGUCUGUGACCUUUGACAUUAACCUGGAAGCAUCAAGGAAAGGUGUUGACUGUGGCUGACCAACCAAACACCCCAGCUUUGCAUCAACCAGGCAGAGUCUGGCCCCGCUCUUGACCACUGGGCCCACGGGGAGCUGACGCUGUCCACGAGCAUGGAAAGACAACUGAUAGCCUAUGAAAAGAGCCAGAUUCAACAUCCGCAGUACAGUCUCUCAGGUUCGCUACCUUGCAACGCCAGACCAUCCUGCAAUGUCAGACGACUGCAACGUAGUGAUGUCUGUCCAGGUCUUUGAAAACGGUUAGCCACCCUGAAAACAGAGAAGGUUGUUAUGUGCUAAGUCAUGCCCCAGCCCCCUUCAUAUGUUGAAACCUGCAGUAAUCUUGGAAUUGGACUGUAUUUGGGUAUAUAAUCUUCAAAGAGGUUAAAUGAGGUUAUUAGUUUGGGCUCUAAAUAAUAUGACUUUAAAAAGGUUUGUUUAUUUUGAUGGUAUGUGCAUGUGUGCUUUGCCUAUUCAUGUAUACCAGGGCCGUGUCUGGGUUAGGAGGCUGGAAGAGGGUGUUGGGCUCCCUAGAACCAGAGUCACAGAGUAUUUAACCCCUAUGUGGGUGCUGGGAAUUGAACCAGAGUCUUGUAAGACUGGUAACCACUGAACCACCUCUCCAGAUCAGGACCCAAACACAGGAGGACCACGUGAAGACGCAGUAAGACUCCAUCCACUAGCCACCGAGAGGCCUUCUGUUAAGAAACCAACCCCGUGCAUACAUUAAUUCCAGAUAAUGAGCAAAAAUAUUUUUGUUGUGUGAGCCGUCCAGGCUGUGGCUCUUUGCUGGGGCAGCCCUAGGAAAAUCACCCAGUGGCCAUCUUGUGGGUCCCAUGGCUCCUUUUCUAUUAGGGAACAGUGCCCUCUGCUGGCUUGUUAUGUUUUAUUGUCUCAAAAAGUAAUGAAUUUCAUGUGUGGACGGCAGCGAAUUGAGAACAGGGUAUUUACAGGCUUUUUACAGAACUCUUUGUGGGACCCACAUAAACAAUAUAAAAUCUUAUGGAAUUAUUUUUAUAUUUACUUAUCUUCUUUUUGGAGACAGGGUCUCUUAUGUGGCCUUGGCUGGCCUGGAGCUUCCUACAUAGACCAGGCUGACCUCAAACUCAGAGAUCUGUCUGAAGGCAUACACCAACAGGCCCAGCUAUUUAUCCAUCAUCAAUCUGGUGUUAAAAUACAAUCGUUCCUCUUUCCCUGAGUUCUACCUUGAAUAGUUUAACAAAUCACAGACAGAAGAUAUUUGAAAAGAAAUUGCAUCUGGGGCUGGGGAGAUGGCUCAGUGAAAGGCACUUGCUGUUCAAGCCUGGGGACCUGAGUUCAGAGCCCCAGCACUCCGUGAAAGCAUGGCUGGUAGCACAUGUCUGUGACCCCAGUGCUUGGAUGGGGGCAGAGAUAGGCAGAUUCCUGCAGCUCACUGGCUGGGCAGUCUAACCAAAUACACUCAGUUCUAGGCUCAC